rnacentral:misc_RNA from 1 species
UCCGGUUUGUCACCGGCAGUCCCGACAGAGUCCCCACCACUACGUGCUGGCAACAUGGAACGAGGGUUGCGCUCGUUGCGGGACUUAACCCAACAUCUCACGACACGAGCUGACGACAACCAUGCACCACCUGUAUACCGGCCCAAAAGGGGGCACCUGUUUCCAGGCGUUACCGGUACAUGUCAAGCCUUGGUAAGGUUCUUCGCGUUGCAUCGAAUUAAUCCGCAUGCUCCGCCGCUUGUGCGGGCCCCCGUCAAUUCCUUUGAGUUUUAGCCUUGCGGCCGUACUCCCCAGGCGGGGCACUUAAUGCGUUAGCUACGGCGCGGAAAACGUGGAAUGUCCCCCACACCUAGUGCCCAACGUUUACGGCAUGGACUAC